ensembl:lncRNA
UUAACAAGUUGCUCUUAAAACUGACAAUGUUUAGAAAUAUUUUAUUUUAAAUUAUUUCUCUAUUUUGGCAGAAAAUGAGGGGUUUCCUGAUAAUUGCUCUUGUGCUUCUUUUCUUAUGUGAGUUUUGGUCAAAUAUCACAACAUGAGUAUGACCCAAACAUCUUGUUCUCGCUUGUAAAUCUGCUCUUUACUAAUUUCGCAGGGCUUCUGAAGGCUGACCAGUCAGUUGACAAAGGAAACACUCAUGAGAAAGGAACCCUGGGGGAGUUGGUGCUCACUCUCCUCUUAUCUCCACUCUCUUUGUACUCCUGGGUGGCUUCCAUACUCGUCAGAUUCAUCAUAUCCAUCCCAGCUCUUGGUCUCAGCGCCCUUCAUUACUCCGUUGUGCUGAUCUUUGCUGGGCCUUGGUGUUUUGCCACUAUCUGCGUAUCCCUGCUGCUGACUUGUCUCCAAAUCACCCUGUACCUGCUUCACAUGACCCUGGUGGUUGGGGUGGUGAUAGUAGUUUUGACUCUUGCACGAUCUAACUCCACUGAUCGUGAGACCGUUGAAGAGGUGACAACAGAUGAGGCAGCGAAGCGACUCCAGCAGUGGAGAUUGGAGCAUCAAAUGAAAACCAAACCAAGAAGAAUUUUUUUUAGAGUUGCAAAACGAGGCUGACUUUUUGUUUUGGUUCGUUUCUGCCAGUAAAAAAAAGAACCUCGGCUUAAGCAGCUUUGAAGCUUCUUUAAAAUUCAUUUAUUUUUAUACAUGCAAAACUGCUUGAAUUCUUCUUACAUUUAUUGUGUGUGUAAAUUGGUUUUGAGACACUUUAUAAGGAAGCAAAAUAAAAGACUCUCGUAUGACUGUGAUUUUUAAAUGAGUAAAAAAAGCAUCUGCUAGUCGCUACUUUAACCAACAGCCAAGGGUUGUCCACUUAUCUUUCUCAUUUUCCUUUCUCCAGUUAGAACUGCGGCCCCUCCAAUUAUCUGCGGAUUGUUGUGCUGUUUACUUCACAUCUACAGAUGUUAUCAUUAGUCAUGUCUGUCAAAUGGAGAUGAGGACAAAAGAGGAACAGGAGGAAAUCUUCUGCAUUCAUUACAUCAGUCUUUUUAAUCUUUCCGUGUUUAUGCAGCGAAGUUCAACAGUGCAAGGCAAACCAUAUCCCUGUAAAACACUAAUAAAGGGAGUUAACAGAGAGAGAAACUACAUGUGGUGGGAGCAUUAAGUCGGGGCACUGGAUGCUUGCCCAACCAGUAAACAGAUCUGCAGGAAAAACUUGGGGGGGAAGAAAAUGGUGGAAAAUGCACAAAAACAACCAGUUCUAUCAAAACCAUUAACCCUGAGCGAAUGGUUUAACGAUGAAAAGUAAUGGGCAAACUUUUUGGGGGAGGGGUUGUAGGAUUGAGUGCACGUCUGUGUGAAUGAGACUGAAAGACAGAGGGGAAAUGAGGCUGGAUCAUAGAGAUUUAUUACAUGGCCGUGGCAUCCUAAUUAGCAUAAAGACUGGACUGGCCCACUCAAGCAGAGAAUUAAAAACCUUAAUUGUGCUGUCAGCCUUGCUCUCUCUUUCUCCUUGUUGACUCUACUUCAUUCCACUUUCAAUCGCCUCCUUACGCUCCUCUCGUCCAUUGACUUUUGGCUUAUAAAGUAGUCUACGCCUGUGCUGUUUUAAUUGUUGGUGAUAAAUGAAAAGAGGGGAGUUUGUAAUUGUCUCAGAGAUGGGAAAAUGGAUGGAUAUCGUCUGCAGGAAUGAGAUGUAGAGUGGAGCCCCCUUGCAAGAAUAGUGGAAAGUCGGUUAAAUGGUUGAAAGGAUAAACAUUUGAUAACCACACCUGAGAAAUUAAUCCCCGACAACUUUUCUUUUCUUCUCAAGCCAAAAAGUGUUCGGUUGUGAAACACGAACAAAUACUGCAUUACUCUGCAUGUGAUUGUGGUUGCAUUAAGUAUAUUUUAGAUAAGCUCUGUGAUGGACUGGUGAACUGUCCAUGGUGUACCAUGCUUUUGCUCUGAAGUAGCUGGAUAGACUCCAGCAGCCCCAACAAACACAAGAAAAAAUGGGACUAGAAGAUUGAUGGAUCGAUAUUUUACAAAACUUCAGAUCACUCAGAUGGAUGCAGUGACAGUUUUGAGUCCACUGUUCCAUUAAUUGAAUGAUUAUCAGUGAGGG